AGACAGCUGAAGUGUUAAACACUGGUGCUCUUUUAUGCUAACACUGGCAGAGUGGGGAUGGAUUGAAAGAAAGAAAGAAAGAAAGAGGAGUCAUGGGGGGUCACGGGGAAGGAUCAGCGGGGCUGAACGUGAGGAGGGAGAGAAGAAUCAGAGCGAGUCAGAGGAAGACCAACGGGUGAAAAUAACAGUGCUGGAAAACUGGAAUUAACACAAGAUGGAUAAAUGAGGAAAGCCAAGAGGAGACGCGCUAGACAGAGAAAGAGAAAGAGAGAGCGGUUUCUACUGGACCUGUGAAGAUUUCAGGGGACACUUCAAAACUGCACUAAACAAUGUUUUUAUGACAUGACUGUGUGUUAUGUGGAAGGUGUAGCUCAGAGUGGUGAACCAACAUGGCAUUUGGUUAAUGUAAUGGAGCAUUUAGCAGCUGAAGAGACCCAUGUUUUCCUCAGGGGUUGGUGGAGACCAAAACUGAGCGAAAAGAACAGCGAAUAUUGGAGCCAAAAUCACCCAAAAAAUGGUUCUGUACUUGAAGUGACAUAUUUGUUUUAAUCAAAGCUGCCGCUGUAGUCACACGUUUAUUUAAUAAAAAGGAUAUCUGGUGUGAGUAGUUAACAGAAUUCGAAAGAAACCUAGAAAUGUCAGGAAAAAAAACAUUUUGAGUAUGUUUUGUAUUUGUUUUAUGAAAAGAAAACAGUGGUCUUGGUGUCUCGCAAUGCGUAUGAUGGUUUAUAUUUUCACACAUCAUAAGCCAAAAAAACAUUUUGAAACCAUUAAACCAAAAGCUUGUCACUGGUGACCUGAAAUCAGAAAAUCUACACCGAGGAUCAACAGGCUUUAACAAACUGCCAGGAAAGGUUGCGAAUGAAAAUGACUUCAGGCUAUAUGAAGGCUGGAGAGAGA